CUGCGGCACACAAUCUCAUGUUAGACUGUGAUAUCGUCUGUGAUUAAUUUAUUGAUUUUCUCGAUUAAGUGAAAAAUGAAAGAUCUAUGGUGGGAGUGUCACGUAGUAGCAAUAUCUUUGUUUUGUGCAAAGGCAAUUGGAUGGAAUCGCGUUUACAUCAAGCCGAUGGAGUUGUCAUUCUGUGUCUGAAAAUGUAAAUAUUUGUGAUAAACAAAUGAGACUAUGAAGUUUUCAUAUGAUGACAUUGAACACUAAUGCUCAUGACUGCACAACAAUUCAUACGUGGUACUUCAACACUUUUAGAUGGAUCCCUGUGCUCUUCAUAUUUACGAUCGUCGUGCAUGCGACUGGUUGUAUUAUGCACACGUACUUCUGAUGUGUAUAUGUGCAGUUGCAUACAUCCGACAUACCGUGCCGUAGACAACUGAAAGCGACCAAUAUCUCUGUGGUCAUGAAAGGUCUACAAGCAGCCUGAAGAUGUCACAAAGACCCAAGGAAACUAGUGAUGAACAAAGAGAGAGAAACAGAGAACGGAUGAGGCGUUAUCGUGCAACACGAACUGCAGAGCAGGCAACCAUUGACCGCCAGAGACAUGCUCAGUAUGCUAAAAUACGUCGUGAGAACAUGUCACCAACUUCCAGGGCACGAAUGAGGCAGCGGGCUUGUUUACGGGCCAGGGAAAAGAGGGCUUCAUUAUCUGAUAGAGAUAAAGCUGUGUGGCGUGCAAAAAAUGCAGAAUAUCAAAAGCUUAGACGAUCGCGAUUGUCUGAUGAAGAGAGAGAAAGAGUUAGGAGACGCAAUGCAGAGAGAACAAGAGCAAAGAGAGCUAUAAAUGCUGCACAGCCGCCUGUGGACACUGAUUACUCCAGCCAGUUUGCAAGUACGAUAGUACAGUCAGAUCCUGAAAAGGAUGAUAUGUGGGAACAAUCUGAUUUUAUGCACCCAAGUUUUGCAAUGCCAACUGACGAUUUUGACUAUUUUCCUUUCAAUUUAAAGACUGAAAAUCAUGACGACUGUGAGGGGAACCAGUUUUGGAACUGUUUUGGCCUUAUGAGGCAUGUUAAUUCUGAUGACGUCAGAGUCAGGUGUGAGCCUUUGCCAACAGACUCAUUUUAUUAUUCAUAUUGAGAUGGUUGUAUUGGCUGUGCUUAGAGUUCACACCAUGUCAUUAAAGUUUAAUAGACAUCGUAUACAGUAUUGUGUUUUUUGUGACAAACAGAACUGGUGGAUUUUCUGUGGGUUACAUCUAGAACAAAAUGAUGAAAACUGUUUCUUGUUCAGAGUGAGAUAUAGUUAAUUGUGUUUUCUGUAAAUUUUUAUACUGCAAAUUAAAUUAGUGAAUUGAAUGUGAAACUUGAUAAUUGCAUAACUGUUUUGUGGUGAGAAGGGUGAGCAGUGGUUUUGGUUAUCUACACUGUUAGAUUGUCGUGUCAACUGAAAGUAAAUGUAACAAUAGAUUAUAUGGUUCUGAAGGAAGAUUAACGGUGAACUACAGAGUGACAACUGGAUUAGCAUGUUAGUGGCAAAUGAUGCAACUUUCAACUCAACAACAAGAUAAGUGUAGAUGGUACUCAAAACUCACCGCUGAUGACACACUCCUCCGUGCUUGUGUGAUGGAACUAGUUGAUGUGUAAGAAUUGACCUCAGCGCCACCGUUUGCAGACUUGUCAUACUCACAGAAGUAGUGGGGAGGAGAGAAGCCAAUACUUUGAUUUCUAAUGCAUUUCAACCAUGUGCUACAGCAACCUGAGGAGCAUUCUGAUGUCACUGUGGUGUUGGCAAUCUACUGUUGUGUCGGACCUUGCAGACUUCCAGUGGGAGCUAAUGAAUUGUCAGUGUCAGCUUACUUGGUGAAUCCUGAAUCAGUGUAAAUCUACUAGGAUUACGUAGAACUGUUAUGUUUAGUGUCAUGAUAGAGUAGAAGAAAACUCACAAUUAAUGACAGAGAUGGGAGAGCAUUAGAGAAGAUUACUAACUGUUUUAAGAUUAUUGUCAUGAUAGUAAUUGCCAAGCUUAAUAUGCAUCCAGAAAAUGCAUUGUCCACAAAAGCUGUACAACAGCACACAGACAUCAUUCAUGGCAGAGCUGCUUGUUCCAAAUCUAUUGUAAACUGUGAAGUGUGGUGGCAGUUAUCUAAUGACUUAGAGGCCACAUUAUGGUUUGAAAAGGUAUCUUGAAAGGAAAUGAAACACAUUUAAAUUAUCUGUGAUGUAUAUAUCUAGUUUAUUCAAUGGCAAAAACAUUUUUUCCAGCUUGGGACUGGCAUUUCCAACACUGUGGUGCUUGUUCAUCAAGAUUUAUCAAAACUUGUUUGGAUGAGCAAGUGUAUGAAGUAACACAAUUUUCCUGGGCUCAGCACUCACCAGAUUGCAAUAUUUUUGAAUGGUUGUGGUCUUUUUUGAAAAAGCUGUUAAAAGCUACUUACACCCUUCCAGCACCUCUCAAAGAACUGUAACAAUUUCUUUGUGAGGAACUGCAUGAAGUUCCAUCAACCACCUGCAGUAUUUAGGAUUUAUAUGCAGUUAAAGCUAUUCUGGAUGCAAAAUAUGGCCUAACAACAUAUUUGGUGGCUGUUUAUAUUGUUUAUUGUCUUGUUUGACAUGGGUAUGUUCAUGCAUUUUUGCUAGAUAAUUACAUUUGCAUUUUGUAUCUCUCAAAAAAUUGUACUCAAAUCACACAGUUUAUCUAUUGGAACAAUUUUGAAAACAUUGGUUUCCCCUUCCCUGCCCCCCCCCCCCUCCCCACCCUGCCCCACAUUGGUCUACUAACAGAGCGAAAAUUCUUAUUCACAUAUCUGUAAAUUCAUUAGUAUCAGAAUUUAGAAAAAUCAUAACAGAAAAAUAAAAGGAUAAAGUCUAUAUAUUUCUCAAGUAUCUCUCUUCUUUCAUGGGUUUACUAUUCAUGAAAUGUAGUAGUGUCAAUUUUUAAAUUCUCUUUAGAUGCUGAGGUGAAUUGAUAAAGUUGUACUGAUGAGAACACCAUACCAUUCUUCAUGUAGGGCUCAUGCAUUAUUCAUGACAUACGGAUUACACCUAAUAACCAAAACUGACAAUUUUAAAAACAGUGCACACAUAAAACAUCAUUGUAAAUGUGCACUAAUAAUUUAUGUACAAGGCAUAGCUAUUUCAUACAAUUAACACACAAUAUUCAGAGAAUGUGGGAGGUUUUAUUUUAUAUUUUCUCCUCUGUAUCUUCAUUCUCAAGUGAAAUACUUGCAGUUUGAUACUUGACGCAAAAGUACCUCACUAUUCUUUCAUGACUGUCUCUUUGAAUGAAGACCACUGAACAUCUUUAUUAAUGUCCAGACAUAUGGAACAGGUGUAAAUCUCACAGCUCUUUCUUUUCCUGUUAUUCCUAGCCAUUUUAUCAUGAUCAUAUUGAGAAAGCAUGGAAUCCCAACAGUAUUAAAUAAUAAAUUGCUAGAGAGUUUUGGAAAUAAUUCUUGUAAGGGUAAGCCGCAUUCCCAAAGUUUGUCUAAGUGAAAUCAGUAGAACGUUGUUUUAGCAGUAGUCUUUCUGUUUUUUUUUUUUGUUUUUUUUUUUUUUUUUUUUUUUUGUGGCUGUGUGUAUUCCUGACCUCAGUGAUAUCCAAUUUGAAAUCAUAGUGAGUUAUAUUAGCUUAGAUAGAUAGAUAUAAUCCAUAAGAAGGCAUAUUUUAAAUAUGUCAAUUGUGAAGGCUUUUAAAAUAUAAAAUGCAUCUACUUAAGCUUUAUGUAGACUUCUAAAGCGAACUUGUUAAAAAUUGCAGAGAUGGACAAGUGUGCUAAUCAUUUGUUUCCUAGAACAAAGACUGUAAAUAUAGUUGUAGUGUGUAUAUGUUGUACAGUACAGACUAUUACAGAGUAGCAAAUGUCUGACAACGUUUGAUUCCAUUCAUUGUAGUUAUACUUCUGCAACAAAACCUCUGUGUUACAAGGCAGUUGGUUAGUAUAGAAUCAGGACAGUGAGUGAAGCUACACAAGUGGAAUCAGAAACAUUACAUUGUCAUAGUGGGACUCUAGAGGACAUGAAUUAUUAAGCAAAAUGUUUGUUAUGUCCUAUACAUUUGAACAUUCUGUCAGACAAACAGCUGUUCCAUUUCAAUUAAUUUCAUUAUCAGAUAUAUCAUAACCUAAUCAGUGUGUGUGUGUGUGUGUGUGUGUGUGUGUGUGUGUGUGUGUAAGCUGAUUAAAUUUACCAUGUAGAAAGACUGUGUAGACAGUAACUACUUCCACUGUCCUCCUGACAGUCUGAUCUAAAGGGUUUUCUUUAUUAGGGCAUUUGAAUUCUUGUGUGUGAUACAAAAAUGGUCUGGUUUGAAGAAGGGUCACUGUCGGUGGGUGAUACUACUUUCCUAAACAAAAAUGAGUCAGUUCUGGAAAAUGAGACAAUGUUAAGAAAGAACAGUCAACUAGUUUUUGUAUGUUAAGCUAACAAGAAGUUGGUAUCCAUAGAGUAUAUUAAAAUAUGUUCCGGAUUUCAACAGAAAUUUUACAUUGUUUUAUUUUUGUGGUCUGGUGUUUUAUAUGUUAGAAAUAGUAGUGGUUUGUUCCCUAUGUAAGUUUGCAUGGUUUGAUAUUUUGUAUAAAAACAGAACCUGGAAUAGGAAACUUUAUGGUAAUGUUUACUCUAUAGAGUAUGUUUCACAGCAGUAGUUCAAGUGUACUACUUAACUUUGUUUUGACUUUUGUUGCAGUUUAAUACAACCAUACUUUUGUAUCAUCUACUUCUGUAUUUGGACAGUCACUAAGCAAAGCAAUUCUAGAAUGACGUAAUCUAUACCUUUACUAUUUAUUUUCCUUUUUAAAUAACAUUGCAGUCAGUAAGAAAGUGAACAGCCAAUUAAGUAAUUUUAUGCAAGAAAAAACUGAUUUCCUAUUCCUUCUGCCAAUUGUUAUGCCUUUAUAGCAUUUUUUUAAGUAGCUUCUACAGUAGUUCUUAUUCUAAGGCUAAACUUUUGCAUGUUUGAAUCUCAUAACUAUUUUUACAAGUACUAUCCAGUCUGUAUUUUUAUGAUGAAAGCACUAAUGGAAAACAACAGCUAAUAAAAUGUGAAUGCAAA